CCAAAGUUCAUCUCCGUGAACUAGCCGGCCCCUUUGCUACAUUCUCUCUGAGCCAUCUCUACUCGGUCUCUGUUCGUCCUGUUGAGAUCGUCAUUAUCGUAAUUGGUUCCAUCUACUUGGCUAGCUUCUGGUCGUCGUCAUAUCGUAUUGCUACUGCCUAUUCAACAUAAUUGAGAGAAGGGCUGGUUGCGGUUUUGCCUGUUGGACUUGUAAGAUUGAAGAAUGUAGGAAUGUUGACUGCAUGAACACAGCUUCCCUCCAUAUGGGAGUGGCGCCGCGCAGCUUAUCAAUUCAAGACAUUAGCUGUCCUCCAUGUCAAGAUAUCUACGAUGCGAGGUGGAGUGACUACUACAAAUUAUAGUCAAAUUAUUUUUUCUCCAUAUGUUCUGAUGCGUACGAGUUGAAAGACCUAUGCAAGCGGAUACGUGCUGAACGGAAACAAAUUACAAAGACGGCACAUGCCCUUACAUUAGCUAUCAUCAACAAGUAGUAAUGCUAGGAUGCUCAGCAACUCAGUGUUGUGUUUCCAAGUUUGGAUGUUCACAACAUACUGAAUCAUAUUUUUCGAGGAUUUUCCUUAUAUGAACUUUUUAGACAGUGACCGAGGAAAUUAUAAAUAUAAUACUUUAUUAAUUAACUGA